rnacentral:rRNA from 1 species
AUACGGAGGGUGCAAGCGUUAAUCGGAAUUACUGGGCGUAAAGCGCGCGUAGGCGGCUUGAUAAGUCGGAUGUGAAAUCCCCGGGCUUAACCUGGGAAUUGCAUUCGAUACUGUCAGGCUAGAGUGUGGUAGAGGGAAGUGGAAUUUCCGGUGUAGCGGUGAAAUGCGUAGAUAUCGGAAAGAACAUCAGUGGCGAAGGCGGCUUCCUGGAUCAACACUGACGCUGAGGUGCGAAAGCGUGGGGAGCAAACAGGAUUAGAAACCCGGGUAGUCC